AUUGAACGCUGGCGGAAUGCUUUACACAUGCAAGUCGAACGGCAGCACGGACUUCGGUCUGGUGGCGAGUGGCGAACGGGUGAGUAAUGUACCGGAACGUGCCCAGUCGUGGGGGAUAACGCAGUGAAAAUUACGCUAAUACCGCAUACGAUCUAUGGAUGAAAGCGGGGGAUCGCAAGACCUCGCGCGAUUGGAGCGGCCGAUAUCAGAUUAGGUAGUUGGUGGGGGAAAGGCCCACCAAGCCAACGAUCUGUAGCUGGUCUGAGAGGACGACCAGCCACACUGGAACUGAGACACGGUCCAGACUCCUACGGGAGGCAGCAGUGGGGAAUUUUGGACAAUGGGCGAAAGCCUGAUCCAGCCAUUCCGCGUGCAGGAUGAAGGCCCUCGGGUUGUAAACUGCUUUUGUACAGAACGAAAAGGUUUCUACUAAUACUAGGAGCUCAUGACGGUACUGUAAGAAUAAGCACCGGCUAACUACGUGCCAGCCGCCGCGGUAA
rnacentral:rRNA from 1 species